rnacentral:rRNA from 1 species
UACGUAGGGGGCUAGCGUUGUCCGGAUUUAUUGGGCGUAAAGGGCGCGUAGGCGGCCUUCUAAGUCAGACGUGAAAUCCCCCGGCUUAACCUGGGAACUGCGUCUGAUACUGGGAGGCUAGAGUGCGGGAGAGGGAUGCGGAAUUCCAGGUGUAGCGGUGAAAUGCGUAGAUAUCUGGAGGAACACCGGUGGCGAAGGCGGCAUCCUGGACCGACACUGACGCUGAGGCGCGAAAGCUAGGGUAGCAAACGGG